rnacentral:rRNA from 1 species
UGCCAGCCGCCGCGGUAAUACGGAGGGGGUUAGCGUUGUUCGGAAUUACUGGGCGUAAAGCGCACGUAGGCGGAUUGGAAAGUUGGGGGUGAAAUCCCGGGGCUCAACCCCGGAACUGCCUCCAAAACUAUCAGUCUAGGGUUCGAGAGAGGUGAGUGGAAUUCCAAGUGUAGAGGUGAAAUUCGUAGAUAUUCGGAGGAACACCAAUUGCGAAGGCAGUUCACUGGACCGUGAUCGACGCUGAGGAGCGAAAGCUAGGGGAGCAAACAGGAUUAGAUA